rnacentral:rRNA from 1 species
CAGCAGUAGCCGCGGUAAUACGUAGGUGGCAAGCGUUGUCCGGAAUUAUUGGGCGUAAAGGGCUCGCAGGCGGUUUCUUAAGUCUGAUGUGAAAGCCCCCGGCUCAACCGGGGAGGGUCAUUGGAAACUGGGAAACUUGAGUGCAGAAGAGGAGAGUGGAAUUCCACGUGUAGCGGUGAAAUGCGUAGAGAUGUGGAGGAACACCAGUGGCGAAGGCGACUCUCUGGUCUGUAACUGACGCUGAGGAGCGAAAGCGUGGGGAGCGAACAGGAUUAGAUACCCCCGUAGUCCCUGUCUCUUAUAC